GACGAACGCUGGCGGCGUGCCUAACACAUGCAAGUCAGGGAUUGAAUGAAGGGUAGCAAUACUUUUUAUUCAGUACCGGCGCACGGGUGAGUAACACGUAGGUAAUCUACCCUCAGGGCGGGGAACAACAUCGAGAAAUCGGUGCUAAUACCGCAUGACGCAACGAGACCACAUGAUCUUGUUGUUAAAGAUCCGCAAGGAUCACCCGAGGAUGAACCUGCGCCCGAUAGCUAGUUGGCGGAGUAAUAGCCCACCAAGGCAACGAUCGGUAGCCGACCUGAGAGGGUGAUCGGCCACACUGGAACUGAGACACGGUCCAGACUCCUACGGGA
rnacentral:rRNA from 1 species